AUGAAAAGAACAAAACAAAGUAAUCCGCACAACAUCGGCCAUCUCUCUAUGAUCCACUCUCGCCGGCGACUUCAUCACCUUCGACUUCAUCACCUUCGACGACAACACCUCAAAGCUACGACGCGGACAACUGAAGCUCCAGCCGCACCCUAUCUCCACAGACUUCAUUCGUACAGACCGCCUUGCCGUUCAACCAGCUUCGGCCUUCCUCACUUUGCGAUUGCAACACCGGCCGAUCUCGCCGCACGACACCAUGAACAACCAGCCAACGCUCUACUCAACGUCUGA